rnacentral:lncRNA from 14 species
AUGCUCCGUCGUCGGGCAGGUUCAGGGCUGUCCGCAGCUGUGAGCAGUGCAGGUCCUGCUGUUCCUCCCUGGGGCGGGAGCGCGAUGGCGGCUGCAAGCGCUUGCAGCAGCAACGGUAGCAGCAGCGACACGUCCAGCACCGACGAGGAGGAGCGUCUGCGGCGGCUCUUCCAGACGUGCGACAGCGACGGCGAUGGCUUCAUCAGCUGGAAUGACUUGCUAAUGGUCUGCCGACAGGUGAAUAUGGAAGAGUCAGUGGCUGAGAUCAUGAGCCAACUGGGCACAGAUGAGAACGGGAAGAUUUCCUUCCAAGACUUCACAAGGUGCCACACGCAGCUUGUUAGAGAGAUUAGGAAGGAGGAAGUAGACCUGUUCAUGAAGUCAGACAAGUCUGGUAAAAAGAAGCUGAGGGAAAGAAUCACUUCCUGGCCUACGAGAAGUGACAACAGUCUGGGUGCUUUGUCAGCAACCAGGGAGAGCUGGGCGUAUGAUUCAGGUGCCAGGGAUCUCCAGAGCCCCGACUUGCAGAGCCAGCUGCCCCUCCAGAAGCUGCUGGAGUAUGGUGAAAGCUCUUUGCCUCAGCAGGCUGUGCUCCACAAGCUUCUCACGCAGUCCCCGAAUUUUGGCACUUCUACAGGCGGAAGCUAUCUAGAGCUGGCCAGUACCUAUGACUGUGCAGAACAACCCGGGGAAGAAAGUGCUAUGAAGCUUGUUUCUUCUUAGUUGAAUGGGUGUGGUUCUGAAGUACUACAGAAUGACAGCCACAAGGAACAGUGAGAGUCUGGUAAAGCAGGAAGGUGAGAAGAAAAUGCCUAGUCUCUGAAAAUGUUUCUCCAAAGAUUUGUAACUACCCAGUAAUGUUAAAGUUUUGAAACAGUGAUAUACUUAAGGACUAUGAUACAUAAAACAUGAUAUUUUAUAGGUAGAACACCAAUAAACUUUUGAACAAAAUAUAAAUUUCUGUGUACAUUGUUUCAGCCAUAAUGUCAUUGAAAUGGCCUUAGCUUUGGCAUGUUCACUAAUAAAAGAACUAAUUGAUGUGAAUUAAAAUCGCACUUUAAAAGAAACCAUACACAUGAUAUGAAGUGUUUAAAUGAAACAAUUCAAUGGGAAGCAACAGCCAUGACUUUUCUCUUUAUUUCUCCUCACAAGUUGUAUGUAUGUAUGUAUGUAUGUAUGUAUGUAUGUAUGUAUGUGUAUUCUUUUUAGUUAGUGAUGUUAUGUCCUUGGAUUGUUUUUAAGAUAGGGACAUUUUUACUUUUCCUUCAUUGGUUUUAAGAUGCUCUGAUCAUCAAGGAGUUGCCAAACCUGGGGUUAACAUCUUGAAGUCUCUGGCCUAGAGGACUUGUGUGAGCUUUGUGGCCAUUAGCACCCUAUUCUGGGCACUCUUCAGCUGCAAAUAAAUUCUUCAGCACAACUUGUAACCCUUCAGAUUUUUGGGAAAUGGAAUAAUAAGUACAAAAGGGGGGAUGGAGAUUUGUUUUGUUUUGAGAAAACGGCCAAGGAACAAUCUAGACAUUUCAAAAACUUUGUCCCUUCUAAAUGAUUGAGAUUGAUUUUUCUUUUUGUAGGAUUUGCUCCCAUUUGAGUUCUCAUUUAUCAGACACAGCAGCUAUCAAUGAAGAAAUAUAUCAUGUUAUGUUUCCCCAUAGUUUCCAAUGAUGGCUCAAAACGCUAAGCUGGCCUCCUUUGCAGAUGAAGAGAGCUCUGUCCUUCUAGGCUGCUCAAGUCUGCCUUCCUCUAGCUUGCACAAUUACGCUUUAAUUUUGUCUACUUCCUUUUAAUUUUUUUCUAUAUUUGCUUAUUUUGUAUGUUGGUAUGCAUGUAUUGUGCGCAUGCACAAUGGAAGGUGCACAUAUCCUGGAACAUUUGAGCACUUCUCUCCUUCCACCUGGUGAGUCCCAGGGAUCGAACUGUGAUCCAUAGGCUUAGCAGCACACACCUCUAAGACUAUCUCAUAAGAACAAUUUUACUAUUCUUGACAUUUAAUUUUGUACACUUUUUAAAAAAAAGGAUUUACAUUUUUAAAAGAAGAAAAGGUUUUUGUGAGUGAUGUGGGUUAAGUUGUAUAAAUUUUAAAAGCCAACAGGGCUGAACAGAUAGCUUGGCAGUUGAAGAGAGCACAAUGCUCUUGCAGGGGAUCCAAGUUCAGUUCCCAGCACUCUUAUGAAACAGCGCACAGCUGCAGAUAAUUCUAGCUCAAAGUGAUCUGACAUCCUGGCCUGGCUUUAGUGGGGAUCUGUACUCAUGCACGCACGCACAUACACACGCACGCACACAUGUGCACUCACACUCAAAAUUUAAAAUAAGAGAAAUAAAUGAAAGUCAACAAAGCAUUUCCCUAGCAUGCAUAAGGUCCUGAAUGUGAUCUCCAGCACUGUAUUAAACAAACCAAAGAUAUUGAGUGACCAAAUUUUGUUACUCGAUGACUCCCAACAGUCAGACUCUAUAGAGCCUUUUCUUUCAUCCUGAUAACAUACCUGGGAAUGAGAAGUUAAAAUAGAACUGUGUCUAUGUGAGUUCUAUUUAUAGAUAUGGCUCCUGGUAGGGAACCAUGCUCCAGUGGAAAGCCCCAUAUCUAGGAAUGUAUGGGCCACAGGAAUUAGACUUGGGAGAGUUAUGAAAAAUAAAAGCAGGAACAAGGGGAGUGGAUCUGGGAGGGGGUAUGAACAAAAUAUAUUGUAGGCCUACAUUAAAUUUUCAAAUAAUAAAAAUCUUAUAUUUAACAAUAAAUAAACAAAUGAGAUCUGUGUUGUUAUAAUCUGUCACAUGCUCCUAUGUUUUGAAAAGCCAUUUAUUAGCUGAGCUUCGCUGAGUAUAACUUUCUGACUUCUGCCACUUUGAAGACAACUUUGCAGGCUUCAGUGUGAGAAACAAUUCCUAUUCUUAUGGGGACACUCUUAUUUUUGCUUCAACCUGUAGUGAGAAUUUUGGUUUCUUUAAAAAAAGGAAACACAGAAAUGUCGGAGGAAUAUGGCUUUGUUUUAAUUCCAGGUAUGAUCCCAGUUGCUUUAGAUUGUCCACAGCAGCUGACUAUGAUUUGCCUCAUGCUGUAGCAUGGGUGUGAUUUUGACAGCUGUAAAUAGUUUUUAGAAGUGUAUGACAUUUGGAAUUUUGGGGACUUUUGAAAGGGUAUAUAAAUGCUAGAGCCCCAGGAGGAUCUGUGGUGGCGGCCAUUGCUGAUGGCUGCUGUUUUAGUUUGUCAAGUGGUCAUGAGCAAAGAAAUGAGAAAAUAAAUUGGAUAUCCUACAUCAAAGAUCAUACUUGCCCCAUGGUACUCUACACCCCUAAUCAGCAGGAAGUCAUCUAGCAAUACCACCACCACCUUUCUCCUCUAGCCUUCUUUCUCUCCUACCUAGUGUUGGGAUUGAAGGUAGAAUAGAGUUGAAAAGAGUGGUAGAAAAGGAAU